AAAGCAAGGGCAGGGCCCCUGUGUGACAACACAGAUCUAUGCCCCUGAGGCUGGCCCUGGUACCAGAAUUUGAACCCUGAGUUCUGACUCCAGAAAGACUGUGCUUGGAGGACGGAAGAGUAAUCACUGUGAUUUCCUGAGCACCCACUACGUGCAUCGUGCAAAAUCUUUAAACAACCCCCCGCAACAAUCCUGAGGUAACAAUGAAGCAUUGCUAACCUAAUUUUAAGGGUGAGGAAACCAAGCUUUAGGGAGGUUGAGUUACCCACCCCGGGCACCCCAGAAGAUCAGGAUUUGAAGGCAGGACCAACUCCAGAGCCCGUGCUCUGCAAUCCUACAGCCUCUCUGUCUAAGGAUCACAAAGGGGCUGAGCAUGACUCAAUCUCUUAGGACUUCUGCCCGAGGGGCCCAUCGCUGGAGGUUGAGCUACUACUUUGCUCAAGACAGGAAGGUGUCCCAAGUCUGCAGAUACUUCCAGCGAGGCUUCUGCUUCCACGGAGACCAAUGCAGCUAUCAGCACCCUCAGCCCCCUGGCCACCUGGAAUGGGGCCGGCGCCAUUCGGAGCCACAUGUCACCCUGCCAAGACCCCGGCUGGGGCUGACCCGCAGGGGCUCCGAGCCCACCUACCUGCCCUCCGUGGCUGUGGGUUGGGACUGGCCCGGGGCCUGCUGGAGCAUGGAGCCUGGCUUGGCGGGGUUGGCCAGCAAGGCCGAGGAGGUUGGUGGCAGUCCCUGGAAUUCCCUCUCACCAUCAUCUGCUGACGUGGAACACAGCGAGUCCCGCGAGCAUCAGCCUACGUCAGACCCCGUCCGGGAGCUGGUGGCCCCACUUCAGAGCCUGGACCAGGAGGUGCAGCAGGUUGUGGGGGAGGGGCAGUGGCAGAGGAUGCCAGGCUGGACCUCCGAGCCGCCCAGGCCAGCCGGAGGAGGGCUCCGUGGUCCCCGGGGCUAGGGAGCAGGACAGUCGGGACGUUGUGUGUGGCAUCUGCAUGGACAAGGUGUGGGACAAGCCAGAGGCUGAGCGGAUCUUCGGCAUCCUGCCCAACUGUAGCCACGCCCACUGCCUGGGCUGCCUGCGCACGUGGAGGAAGAGCCAGCGGACCUUCCCGCUGGACGUCAUCAAGGCCUGUCCCCAGUGCCGGGUCCAUUCCAGCUACAUCAUCCCCCACAAAUUCUGGGUGAGCAAGGGGGCUGCGAAGGAGCAACUCAUCAGGAACUUCAAGGCUCGGACCUGGUGAGCCUGGCAGCUUAGGGGAGAGGGGAAGGCGGCCCCUGCGCUACUCCGGCUCAGCCUUGGUUCCCAGCCUGGGAUCCCCCAAAUCCUAGAAGUUCAGAGCCAUGGAGAUGGCAGAUGAGGAUGUGAGCUCUUUCCACUGUUUUGGAAAGUGACAGAGACAGCAGCAGCAGAUCAAGCCCAAGUUUCUCUGCCAGCCUGGCUCAGGGUCAAUGCAGGGCAACUCUGGUUUUCUCAGCAAAAUGAAAAGCCCUGCUUGGCUUUUACUUCUGAUUUCUAUUUCUUUUCCUUUUCCUUUUCCUUUCCCUUUUCCUUUUCCCUUUCCCUUUCCCCUUUCCCCUUUCCCUUUCCCGAAAGUAGAUUGAUAGGAAUACAUGUUGUUGCAUAGAUGAUCUUUGAAAACAUGGGGUCUCUGAGAAGGAGAUCAGAAGGUCAGCCCUCGGAGCAAGGGAAAAGGUGGGUAGGUUUUUCAUCUAUUGGGGAGGGUGGGCCUAUAUCCAGAUCUGGAAUUAGGUACAUUCCAGCUUCUUAAUUCCACCUUCCCAAAGGGUUAAUUAUACUCAACAUAUGCAAAGUAUAUUUGGAUAAAGGGUGGGAUAAAAAAGGUCUUGUCUCCACCUGUGAGACAUUUGACCUUGUUGAGAAGGCACCUGGAUUUUGUCUGUGAACUAUAAUAGCUGGAUCAACAAAGUGACUGAGACAAAACUCUUGGGUGAAUCUCACAGAGGAGGAAGUAUUUGAGCUGGGUGUUGGAAAAGAAGUAGGGGCCCCUCAGGAGGGGAGAAAUGAGAGCACUCAAGGCAGAGGUAGGCCAAAGUGGGGAACUACUGGCAUCUGGGGUACCAGUCGAGAACCACCAGAAGGGAGCACCCAGCCUGGGGGUGCUAGGAGACAAGGUAGCAGAAGGGCUUAAUCUGUAUGACAGACUUUGCCCAUUAUCAACUCCAUGAACUAGGGCACCCUACGACCCUCAUGCUGCAGAAGAAGAAACUGAGGCAUGGUCUUUAUGACUUCAGUGAAAAAGUGGGGUUUGAACCCAGGCAUUCUGACUCCUAGUGCAUCCUGGGAGGAAGGGGGUCGGGGGGGUGGAUAUGGACUUGAGAGGAAAAAGGGCCAGACCUGGGUGGCCAACUGACAGUGAGGUGGAGAAGGAAGAUUUAAGAUGAUGAAUAUGGGACGCCUGGGUGGCUCAGUCGGUAAACCAUCUGCCUUCGGCUCAGGUCUUGAUCUCAGGGUCCUGGGAUCGAGGCCCCACAUCGGGCUCCCUGCUUAGUGGGGAGUCUGCUUCUCUCUCUCCCUCUACCCCUCCCCCCGUUCAUGCUCUCUCUUGCUCUUGUGCUCUCUCUCAAAUAAAAUCUUUAAAAAAAAAAAUGAUGAAUAUCUUACUGAGCAUAUGUGGCCACAUUAUGGCACUAUUACAUGAGCCCAGAGAGAGAGAAGCUGAUGGGGGAUUUGGACAGGUUGAGUGUGGGGUUUUUGUAGGCUGUCCAGAUGGAGGGGUUCCUGUCUGAUGCUAGGUUUGGGUAAAUAGGAGGAGGAAGAAGAGAAAGGGCCGUUUGUUUAGAGGGAUUCCCAGGCCUCCAGCCUGGGGAGUCAGUGGGGUCCUGCAUUCACACUGGGGCUGCAGGAAGUGGGCAGGACUCAAAGGUGUGGAGCAGAGAGUGAUAAUGCAGAGAAGAACCUAUUAACAGGCAUCUGUCCUUUCCUUUCUGCCUCUCAUCCAUCCUUCUCCGCAAGAAGGAAGCUGGUCCUACGUAAGCCGAUCACAGGUUGCCCACAAACCUCUCCUGUAUUGGUGCUUUUAUUGAAACUUAGUUCAAAGACGGAAAAGAGAUUCCGGGGAUCACUGCUGGCCCAAAUCGACCUUGUGGGACUUAGAGAAAGGCAUCCCUUAAGACACUUUACUGCCAUCUGCUGGAAAAUAGUUGUAAUAAAUGUAGUAAAAUCUACACUGUGAUACCCUCAGUGGCUGCACAGGAGUGGUGCUUUGUGCCAGAUCCGAUGCCGAUUCUUCAUGCAAGGGAAUGGCCGCUGCCCCUUCAAGUCUGAUUGUAUUUAUCUGCACCAGCAACCGGAUAAAGCCCUGACCUCUGAUCCUCCCUGGACUGAGAGUAUGCAGCUGACCUCUGGGAGUGAGGUGCUGGGCCCAGCAGGGUUCCUAGGGGGCACCGAGCAGGAAGACGAAGUGUUCUUCAUGGACUGUGCCUUGGCCAUGGCCUUCUGGGGUUCGGAACUCUUGCUGGAUCCCGAUAAUUCUUACCUCGGCCUUCUGUAACCAGGAUCAACAUGUGGGGGAUGGGGCUGAGGGGUAAGGGUUGCUAGGUGAUAAGUCUUUUCCCUUUUGGGGCUUGGUAGGGGCUGAAGUAGCAAGCCCUCCACGCCCAAGGAGCGCAGCACUGACACAACUGGGGAUCAAGGGAAGAGGAAGGGAAAGGGUUCACUCUCUUGCCAGGGACUUGGAUUUUAACUUUGUUCUUUUGUAGGAUUCUGAAAUAAAACCAAUAAAAUGCAUCUAAGCCAUCAUUGCUGGUAUCUAAAGAAUGUCUGCUCGUAGCCCAGAUGCCCUCCCCCUGAACCACGGGUUGUUUCUGCAAUCAUUCUGUUGCAAUGUCACCCGUCACUUGACCUCUGUGAAACUUCACUUUAUGCUCCUAAGAGUUUGAGAGUAGAAAGGGCAAAUAACAUCUUAGUAUUAGGAAAAUAGUAAUGACAUCAUGGAUCCCAUGAAAGGCUCUCCAGGAUCCCCCAGGGUUCUUGAACCACCCUUAGAACUUUCCUCCCUGCUCUCCUUCCCAUUGGCUAGAAUGCCCACCUUAGUGGGCAUGAGCCAGAGCCACCAUCUCAGAGUAAAGCUGAGAGUUGAGGACUGGCAAGGCACUGAAGUUUAUUUAGCAUUCCUGACCCUACCCACUACUUGCCAGGGCCUGUCUCUCCCCUCUCCCCCAACAGCUGGUCAUUUGAAGACCAAAGACAUCUUCUAUGAAGUUAGAACAGUUAACCUGAGAUAGAGGUGUUGGCAAAAAACUUCUUUCCUGCUAUUUAAGCCUUUGCAAAGCAGUCACUAGCUAAGAAAUACUCCUUAGUCUUUACCAACACCUCACUUAAAAUUAUUUUGGGAAAAAACAUGGCUCCAGUGGAAAUCAGAUCCAGCUCAAAAUAUUCCUACGGCUUACCAUACUGUUCAGGGGCACCUGGCUAGCUCAGUCGGCAGAGCAUGCAACUCUUGAUCUCAGGGUCAUGAGCUCAAGCCCCACAUUGGGUGUAGAGAUUACUUAAAAACAAACAAGAUAUUCCUAUGGCUUACCAUACAAAGUGAAAAACCAAAGUCCUCUUUAUGACCUCAAGGCCUCACAAGAUCUAGCCCAGUUACCUCUCUGAUCU